AGAUUGAACGCUGGCGGCGUGCCUAACACAUGCAAGUCGAGCGGUAACAGGUGUAGCAAUACAUGCUGACGAGCGGCGAACGGGUGAGUAAUGCUUUGGAAUCUUCCCAGUAGUGGGGAAUAACCAGUCGAAAGAUUGGCUAAUACCGCAUACGUCUGUAAAGGGAAAGCGGGGGCUCGUAAGACCUCGCGCUAUUGGAUGAGCCAAAGUCGGAUUAGCUAGUUGGUGGGGUAAUGGCCUACCAAGGCGACAAUCCGUAGCUGGUCUGAGAGGACGACCAGCCACACCGGAACUGAGACACGGUCCGGACUCCUACGGGAGGCAGCAGUGGGGAAUAUUGGACAAUGGGGGAAACCCUGAUCCAGCAACGCCGCGUGCAGGAGAAGGUUUUCGGAUCGUAAACUGCUUUUCUCGGGGAAGAGGAACGGACGGUACCCGAGGAAUCGAGCCCCGGCUAACUACGUGCCAGCCAGCCGC
rnacentral:rRNA from 1 species